AACGACCGCUGGCGGCAUGCCUAACACAUGCAAGCCGUACGAGACCUUCGGGUCUAGUGGCGCAAGGGUGCGUAACGCGUGGGAACCUGCCCUUAGGUUCGGAAUAACUCCCCGACAGGGGUGCUAAUACCGGAUAAUGUCCUCGGACCAAAGAUUUAUCGCCUUUGGAUGGGCCCGCGUUGGAUUAGCUAGUUGGUAGGGUAAAAGCCUACCAAGGCGACGAUCCAUAGCUGGUCUGAGAGGAUGAUCUGCCACACUGGGACUGAGACACGGCCCAGACUCCUACGGGAGGCAGCAGUGGGGAAUAUUGGACGAUGGGCGAAAGCCUGAUCCAGCAAUGCCGCGUGAGUGAUGAAGGCCUUAGGGUUGUAAAGCUCUUUUACCCGGGAUGAUAAUGAGAGUACCGGGAGAAUAAGCUCCGGCUAACUCCGUG
rnacentral:rRNA from 1 species